ensembl:lncRNA
GCCUUCACAGCUGUGCUGAUAGACCUGCUGCAUCUGGGGCACGAGGAUGGGAUCUUGGAUGGAGGGGAGAUAGAAAUGGGACUUGUUGGCACACAGCAGAGCUGAGAACACAGUUUACGUGCCUCACUGCUGCUCCUUUCUCCAUCCCUGGGCCACCAUGUCCCCUGGCCACCAGCACUGUUCAGUCAGUGUGUAUGCUGAGGAACCACGGAGCCCUGUAAAGGCCCUCGUUUAGGUGGUUCAGACUAACAGGGAGGGUUUUUAAAUUUUGGACCUGUUUCAAGAGCGUUAUCGUGUCCCGUCUGCCCACGAUUGACAGGGUUUGGCUCUUUGUCUGCCUUGUGUUUCCUGGAUUCAUACAGACGAUGCUCCUGCCAGUCAGUAGAGCUUGGAUAAGGUUAAAAAGAGCAAGAGGAAAUCAGGAGAAGACAAGAAGCCUGUCCCCCUGCAGCACUAAGGGCUUCUUCCUUUCCCUGGGAGCUGCAGUGUUUUUGGUGAAUUCAGCAG